CAAAUGCCUGGGAGGUCGAAGAGGAGGGCGGACAGAGCAGAUCCAGAAACAAGCAGAGCCCAGAAGCUAUGGAACAGAAGACAUUCUGAGUUCUGACCACUGACCCUGCUCUCAGCCGAGUGGGACAAAAGCAACAGGUGCCCCGUCCAGGAAGACAGACGAAGUCCCUGCUGCAGGAGACAUUUCCUCUUGUCUGGAAGUCAUCUUGGGGGUUUUCAAACACGUGUCCAUGGGAGAACACGGCGAAAUUUGUCACCAGGAGUGUCCAGUGAGUUCAAAGAGCUGGGACUUGGGGUCAUUCUGGCCCCAUCAUGUCUCCCCCCAGGAGGGCAGUACACGAAGUCAGACUAAACCUGUGGGGAGUCCCACUUGGACCAAUGGGAGCCCUGGCUCCAGGGCCUGGAACCUACCAGCUCUUAUGAGGAUUAAAUAAAUCGGUGCAGGAAAAGCACUUGGAACAGUGCCUGGCUCCUAGCAGACUCCAAUGUGGAGAUGCCGCCCUGAAGACCAGCCCUGACCCUGGUGCUCACAGAUGCUCCCAAAGUAGGAAAAGAAAUCAAAUUGCUCCAACAAUCCACCCGCCUCAGCUGUCUACCCAGCCUUAUGCCUCCCUGAAGGCCAGAGCGCCCUUCGAGCCACCAAUGAGACAGAUGUAGCCAGGUGACUCCAUGUGUACAGUGUUAGAGAGACAGUUACUUCCCAGCAAUGUGAGCUUACGCCCCAGCAGGGGGAGGGCUAGGUGGGGGAGGGCUAGG